UACAGAGGGGGCAAGCGUUGUUCGGAAUUACUGGGCGUAAAGGGUGCGUAGGCGGCGCAGUAAGUAGGGUGUGAAAUCCCUCGCUUAACCGAGGAACUGCGCCCUAAACUACUGUGCUCGAGGGAGAUAGAGGUGAGCGGAACUUAGGGUGGAGCGGUGAAAUGCGUUGAUAUCCUAAGGAACACCGGUGGCGAAAGCGGCUCACUGGAUCUCUUCUGACGCUGAGGCACGAAAGCUAGGGUAGCGAACGGG
rnacentral:rRNA from 1 species